CCUACGGGGCGCAGCAGUGGGGAAUAUUGGACAAUGGGCGAAAGCCUGAUCCAGCCAUGCCGCGUGUGUGAAGAAGGCCUUCGGGUUGUAAAGCACUUUCAGUGGGGAAGAAAGCCUUGGGGCUAAUACCCUCGAGGAAGGACAUCACCCACAGAAGAAGCACCGGCUAACUCCGUGCCAGCAGCCGCGGUAAUACGGAGGGUGCGAGCGUUAAUCGGAAUUACUGGGCGUAAAGCGCGCGUAGGCGGUCUGAUAAGCCGGUUGUGAAAGCCCCGGGCUCAACCUGGGAACGGCAUCCGGAACUGUCAGGCUAGAGUGCUGGAGAGGAAGGUAGAAUUCCCGGUGUAGCGGUGAAAUGCGUAGAGAUCGGGAGGAAUACCAGUGGCGAAGGCGGCCUUCUGGACUGACACUGACGCUGAGGUGCGAAAGCGUGGGUAGCAAACAGGAUUAGAUACCCGAGUAGUC
rnacentral:rRNA from 1 species